UGAGGAAUAUUGGUCAAUGGACGUGAGUCUGAACCAGCCAAGUCGCGUGAAGGAAGAAGGUUCUAUGGAUUGUAAACUUCUUUUAUACGGGAAUAAAGUGCGCCACGUGUGGUGUUUUGUAUGUACCGUAUGAAUAAGCAUCGGCUAACUCCGUGCCAGCAGCCGCGGUAAUACGGAGGAUGCGAGCGUUAUCCGGAUUUAUUGGGUUUAAAGGGUGCGUAGGUUGUUUUUUGAAGUCAGCGGUGAAAGUUUGUGGCUCAACCAUAAAAUUGCCGUUGAAACUGGAAGACUUGAGUGUGUUUGAGGUAGGCGGAAUGCGUGGUGUAGCGGUGAAAUGCAUAGAUAUCGCGCAGAACUCCGAUUGCGAAGGCAGCCUACCGGCUCCAGACUGACGCUGAGGCACGAAAGCGUGGGUAUCGAACAGAUUAGAUACC
rnacentral:rRNA from 1 species